GAAGUUGCUUCAUUUCAGGAGUCCUCACUCCUGGAGAGCUACCGUCCUGCAGAUUUCAGCUCCAACCUCAAUCAAGCACACCUGAACUAGCUAAUCUAGAUAAUUACAGACAGGUGUGUUGGAGCAGUGUUGGAACUGAAGUCUGCAGGAUGGUGGCUCUCCAGGAGAACGGUUGGAGAUUCCUGUUUUAUUUGAUAUAAGGCAAAAAUAGAAACAAAAUUUCAUCAUUUACCAACACGCGUCAUGCUAAACCUAAUCUCACGUAGCCAGAACUUCAGACUGAUGGCAGAAAGUCUGGGAGUCAUGGAUGCUUUGAAUGGCCAAGGACCACCCAAGUGACCAUAUGAUUGACAGUGCCUGAGGUACUCAAUGCAGAGAUCAAAGUGACAUUUAAAAUGCCCUGCAGGCAGCCAUGGGCAGGGAGAUGUCACACAACUGCGAGAGAAUGACAGCGAGAGAUUGUCACAGAUACAGACUAAAACGAAUGAGGGAGACAGACCAGAAGAGUAAAGAAAGCUGCUACAGGGAAUAAAUGCCAGGAACAUGUUUGUCUUCAUCACAAAUGCUUUUCUCCCCAGUUCUCUCUGAUGUGUGGCAGUAGAACCUGGUCUACUUUAAACCAUACCUCUAUUAGCAUAAUGUGCUUUUAAUUGGAUUCAGAAAUAUUCUUUUUAAAGCAGUCUAAGAUUACAGAUAUCAACAAACCAAACCACGUUUCUCAGGAUAGUGUAGUUUAUGAACAUCAAGACGCCUGCAAAUUGGAACUUUUAUUGUUUGGAAUACUUACAAAGGGAGAGAGAAAGAGUAAGCUUGAUAGUUAUCCAGUGCAUUUGCGUGCAAAAUAUAAUGGGAGUGUAAUGUUAUAUUACGUGCAAUCAUAUGAAAUGGCACUUCCAGUAACAACAUUCUCUUUUAGCACAGAGAUGUUUAUGUGGGAAAGCGUCACAAAGUGUCCUCUAAACUGUAAUGAAUGAGACAUUUAAGUGCACAAGGUUCUUACUAAUAAAUGACAAGGGGAAAAGAUAAAAGGGAGAAGCUCCACCUCACAUGU